AGUAAUAUAAAUUAUAUUAUUAUAAACUUUGGCCUAUUCGAUUGGUGAAUACACAUGGAUUCCACCUCUCUUUAGCAAACUCACGUGUAGCAAUUAUACAACAUUAAUUUGGGUCUUCUCUAACCUUCCCUGGGAUUUUCCUUCGCUACUCCUUUCCUACUUGGAAGUACUAUCUCUCCGUUUGGUGAGUUUUCCACAUGUUUUCUGCGCUUAUCUCUCUUCGUUAGUUUUUUAGUAUCAAAUCUAUAUGUUUUGAUGAGUUGCUUCUCUCUAUUGUCAGUUUGUCACUCUUUUAAAGUGUAAAUUUCUUUUCCUUUGAAGGUCUUUGAUGGCGUCAAAAGGAUCUAUUAUGGGGUGCAUGUGUUUUGUUUUCUAUAAUUGAGUUUCCCGAUACUCCAGCAAAGAAGAGAAAAAGCCAGUUUUGGCAUCAAGGGUUCAAAUAGAAGUUCCAAGAGUAGUAGUUUUCCUCAGAUAACUACUGAUAGUGAUCUUUGGGUGGAGGCUCAUAUUUAGAGGUAAGGAUGAACUUCUCAAUUCAGGAGUAAAUUAUAAGAGUUUUUUUGUGAUUACUUUGGUGGUGACUGGUAAUUAGAUAAUAUAUCUUUCUUCUUCUUUGUUUUAAUUGAAUAGAACGGGAUAGGCGAAGAAGUCUUUUUGCUCUACUGGGUUUCCCUUCUUCUUUCUUACCAUUGAUCCCUUUCGCCCUCCAUUUUUGGUUUGGAUUUAUAAUUUCUUCAUUAUGGUCUUUGUUUUCACGAUUCUACUGCAUUUAUCACUCUGUCGAGGUUUCUCUUUUGUUUCUUUCUUUAUUGCUACUUUUUGUUGCUUAUAGGAGUUUGAUGGUCAUUUGUUAGUAGCUCCCUUCUUUUGGGGGUUAUUUUGUUGCUUAAUUUUGUCAAUGCAUAUUAAUAUUUGUGCCUCAUUUUCACAGGGAUAUCUUUAUCUAGCAGAACUGGAUGUCACACUGAUAGUGAUCUUUCUUUGGGUUGUUCUUGUGGAGGAAAUUCACCUUGCGAUUCCUUAAAGCUAAGUGAGUAUACUUGAAAUGUAGUAACUAGGCGUAGAACUAUACUCUUUUUCUUUUUGUUCCCAUAGAACCACUUGCAGCAGAUUUGUCAUUCUCCUUUUACAGGGUUUCCAGGACGGGAUUCUUAUUGUUGCUGAAUAUUUCUAUAAAAGAAAUCCAGUUCUAAUUUCUAAUGAGUAAUCCUUAAAGUAUGCCAGUUGAUCCUUUUCCUAUGUUGUUGCAUAAUUUUUAUACAUUCUCUGAUCUUUAAUAGUUGAGACAAAGAUCAGAUGCAUACUUAUCUUCUAAUUUCUUAUGAUAGCCAAUGUGAUCAAAUGCUCUGUAUUAUGUGAUUUUAGUUUUACUACUGUAUUCCUACACAACUAAUGCAUAUAUCCACGAAUGUGUAAAUGUUGUAUAAAUUGCCUUCUUUUCCCUUUGGCUACUGAUUCUCCUACUUUGCUUUGGUAAGUGAUAUACAGGAUAUAAUUAUUUUCGCUUAUGUCAUGGAGACUUUAGGAGUGCAAAUAGUUAUGGAGUCUAUGCAUAUACUAAUAUAUGAUGUAAGUUAGCCGAGUUUCUAUUACAUUGAGAUGUAUGUUCUAUGUGUAAUUGAAAGAUUAUAUCAUUUCUUACAAUGCUUCCUCCUAAUUUCUACACUAAUGAGUGUCGACUUGACCUUCUAUAUGAGGAUGAGUUCAACCUUACAUCUCUCUUGCUAUUAGAAUGUAAUAGGGGUAUGCUGUAAUUUUGGAAACGACAUGAGUGGUAAUAGUUCCUACACGAGAGUGCUAAUUUGGUGUCUCUUUAUGUUUAUCCGUGAACAGUUUUUGCGUUUUCUCCUCAUGAUAUUAUUUAUAUUAGAAAAAGAAGUUUAUUGUCUUGGGAUUUUUCUCAAUCAUUUCCAUUUGAACCGAGUCUCUAUUGGACCGUGCAUGCCUAAAUCUGAUUUGAAAUAGGAUGGAAGUAGUUUGGUUGAGUAUCCAAGUUUUGAUUUUGAACAAUUAGUGAAAGUAUGCAGUGAAGUUCAGAUAUGACUUCGGUUUGUAAUGUGCUCCUUUAUGUUUUAGUAUUUUGAGAAUAUUUUUAACUUCUAUGUAGUACAUUAGUUGCACUUCCUAAGCAGUUGGACUAUAUGUAUUUUGCCAUGGGAAUAGGUGAUGUGUGGCACGCCUCAAUUUUGUGGUAGGUUCUCUUUCAUUGUUUAGAAAUAUCUAGAUUAGUAUGCACUGAGCAAAAUCCAACACUGUGCAAUUAAAUAUAGUAUUAAACUAUAAAUAUGCUUGUGUUUCUCUAUUUGUGAGGUAAAAUUCAUUUCUAUUCUAACUUCUUAUGCUUGAGAACAAAGGGAGAGUUAAACAAUUUACUUGGUAAGUAUGGAUAAUGUGAAUGAAAAUGCGGUUUCAUCAGGAUUACUAAUCUUAAGUCUUAAUUGCCACUAGAUUUGUAUAAAAUCUAGAUUAGUUUAACCUUUCUCCACCUAUGAAGGAAUGCACCAUAUUGGUAUCAUACUCAUCUAUAGUACGAAACAUACAUAAUUUUUAUAGUUUUGACAGGAUCAAGGUCCCCAAACAGUGAACAUCAAGUUUUUGUAAAAAUGCUUAUUUAGAUGUUUCAAUUGGACAACAUGCACAUAUGACUAAAGAAUCUAAAAUUAAGAGAAUCAUCCUAAUAAGUCGUAAAAUCCUUCAACUCUAUUUGACUUUUUGCUAACUCUGCCCUACUACAUGGUUCUUUAUUUUGCAGUAAAUUGAAGGCCACUGGGACUCUAUUUAAAUGAAGAAUAAAGGGGGGAAAACUCAUUGUAAUUUCCCCUUAUUCGAGUUGGGUAAUUAUCAACCCCCUCCCCCCUCCUAUAUUAAUCAAGAACGUGAAUAUAAAGACACUUCUUUAAUCUCUAUAAAGAUUGACAAUAAGUAGGAUUCACAAACAAUUUAGCAUCUUGAUCAAAUCAAAUAAGCUAAUGAAUACACCACUUGAUAACAAGGAAAUGACCAGUCAUAUAUUUUAGAAAUCUCUUUCUUUCUAGCUAAUUUUAGUGGGUCUUGAAAUUUCUUGGUGUGUAAGAGAGACGACAAUAUAUAAAAUUAGGUAAGUUUAACAAUUGCUAAUGUUGUUUGCACUAAGUUAAGUUCAAUGCACAUUAAUUUUUUUUAAAUAAAUCUUACUUUGAAAGCAAUUAAUUUUAUUCAAGUUAAUAUAUACCUUUUCAUUUAUUUAUUCCUAAGCGAAUCUAUCCUAAUUUUAGGUGUGGCAAUAGUUGGGGAACCUGUGAGGAAUACUUUGAGACCAAAUAUAUUAAAUAAUUAGCAUUUGUCUUCAAGACGACUACAAAUUAAACUAAAUCAUCCAUGUCUUGUGUCUUUUCUGCACAAAGAAGAUAGCUUGUCAAUGUUAUGUUUGGCAUAAGCUCUUAUAUUGUUUGUUCUCCCAUUUGGUCUUUGUGAGUGAGAGUUUGGAACUUAAAGUAACAUCUACUUCUAGAGUUACGAUUCUUAGUUCAUGUUGUAGUUAAGCUAUCCUCUCAUUAAGUAACUCUUUUAUAGUUUCUUUGAGUUGUUUCUCCUUUUGUUCAGUAUAUCAAUCCAUUUAGGUGAGGCGCAUGGUAUUUUGAAGGAGAAGAAUGAUGGAAGUUUUCCCAUUCCUAUUUUUCUAUACCCUGUCAUUGUACAUUCAUCAAGAGUUCACCUCCCAAGGUGCCGAUGAAGGUUUUGCCUUUGGCAUCGAGUGGGAGUGGACACUACUGAUGUAUGUACUCAUUUUAGAUGAAACUCUGAAAUAUAUAGAGCUAAUAUGUAUUUUAUCUAUAGCAUUAGAUGCGCGUUGAUAAGCUGGUAAGAGCGUUUUAAUUUCGGCGAACCUUAUUGAAUUUUUGAAAGUCCACAAUUUUUGUAAAGGUUUGGCUAUCUUGUGUAGAAGAGGAUGUUUAGAAGAAGAUGUUAUUUUAACAUUAGAAGCUAUGAAUAGUACCUAUUCUGUUUUGGUAGUAUCUUCAGUUUCUUAUACAGGAUAUGGAACAGAAAAAGCUAAUUUCUUACCAAUCAUUACUCCACCUAUUUUGAAAAUUACGUGUGUAUAUACUUUUUAUGUACUGAGACACUUUCUUACUUUCUAUUUUUCUGUCAAUUUUUGGGAGUAAGGAUGGCUUAAAAGUUGAAUUGUGUGGGAGCUACUUACCAGGCCAACCGAAAAAUAAGUUAAAGUAUUAUAUAUGGCUAACUGAAAAAUAAGUUAAAGUAUUAUAUAUGGCUAACUGAAAAAUAAGUUAAAGUAUUAUUUAUGGCUAACUGAAAAAUAAAUUAAAGUUGAUUGCACGGGGGUAAAGCUUUUCUGGAGGCUAAAUUACUUGGAUAAGUUAGGAACAAACUGAAAUUAGAUUUCCAAAAAAUUCAUUUUUAUUGUAAAGCUUCAGUCUUACAAGUGAAGCAGUUAAGGCUUUCAAAACUUUUUCAGCGAGUGAAAAAGUGUAAAUAAUUGUUUAACAAUCUGCAGGCAUUCCUUCCUUAUGUUUAAUAUCAGAAAGAUGUAUAUGAAUGAUGUAAGAUUUAUUUAAUGUUUAGUAUGGUGAAAUGAGAAUUUUUUUCAAGUCAUUCAUGCUUUUAAUAUCCAUGCUGGCAUUUGUUGUUGUUUCUUUUAUAUUCAAGUUAAUAAUUUUGUGAUUGUGCGACUACCUAACUUCUACUGUAUUGUGUGAUUGUUAGUUAUACAUUCCCUUGCUUGGAAACAUUAGUUCCUAUAUUGUUUACUGCUCAAGAGUGUGGAAGAAGUCACAUUUGGCGCCAAAAUCUGCACGAGCUGCUUGCUGAUCAUUAUGAUCCACUCUCCUUGGUUCCUUGCACACAGUCAUCCUGGAUAGAACGAGAUAUUUUUUUUUUUCUUUUUUUGCUGAAUUACAGGAAAUUGUUGACCAAAAGCUUAUGCAGAGAGAGAGGGGUCUAGAAUAAAAUUGGCAAGUUGAUGUUGAUGAUUUUUUCUUAAGCAUAAUUUGCCAUUGUUCUUGAUGAUACAACGACUUUGCUGGAUUUCAUAAUGUUGAAGUUAUGUCAGAAGGUAACAGAAUGUAAGAACUGUAACUCUAUAAGAAGUUUAUGACUUUGUUCAUGUUGGGCUCGUGCUUUUGCACGUGUUUCUCCUUACUAGUCUAUCAAUAAGUAAGAGUUGGUUGGUACUGUUUUUUGGCGUAUAAGGAUUUCAAUUUUAUUAAAUGUGAAACACGCCGAGGUCUUCUGAGAUAUGUGGAAAUGGUUCACUUUUUUAUUUUAAUUUUAAUACUUGUCACUGCCGA
rnacentral:lncRNA from 1 species